rnacentral:rRNA from 1 species
CUGGCGGCGUGCCUAAUACAUGCAAGUCGAGCGAAGCACUUCGGUGCUUAGCGGCGAACGGGUGAGUAACACGUAGGUAAUCUGCCCUUAAGACGAGGAUAACUAUUGGAAACGAUAGCUAAUACUGGAUAGUAUAUAAGAUCGCAUGAUUUUAUAUUUAAAGAUCCCUCAAAGGAUCACUUAAGGAGGAACCUGCGGCGCAUUAGCUAGUUGGUGAGGUAACGGCUCACCAAGGCGAUGAUGCGUAGCCGGACUGAGAGGUUGAACGGCCACAUUGGGACUGAGACACGGCCCAAACUCCUACGGGAGGCAGCAGUAGGGAAUUUUCGGCAAUGGAGGAAACUCUGACCGAGCAACGCCGCGUGAAUGAUGAAGUAUUUCGGUAUGUAAAAUUCUUUUAACAGGGAAGAAUGUCUAUGGUAGGAAAUGACCGUAGAGUGACGGUACCUGUUGAAUAAGCCCCGGCUAACUACGUGCCAGCAGCCGCGGUAAUACGUAGGGGGCAAGCGUUAUCCGGAAUUAUUGGGCGUAAAGGGUGCGUAGGCGGCAUAUUAAGUCUAAGGUUAAAGUGCGGGGCUCAACCCCGUGAUGCCUUGGAAACUGAUAAGCUUGAGUAUGGUAGAGGCAAGUGGAAUUUCAUGUGUAGCGGUAAAAUGCGUAAAUAUAUGAAGGAACACCAGUGGCGAAGGCGGCUUGCUGGGCCAUUACUGACGCUGAGGCACGAAAGCGUGGGGAGCAAACAGGAUUAGAUACCCUGGUAGUCCACGCCGUAAACGUUGAGUACUAAGUGUUGGGGUUACCCAGUGCUGAAGUUAACACAUUAAGUACUCCGCCUGAGUAGUACGUACGCAAGUAUGAAACUCAAAGGAAUUGACGGGAGCCCGCACAAGCGGUGGAGCAUGUUGUUUAAUUCGAAGAUACGCGAAGAACCUUACCAGGUCUUGACAUCCCGUGCAACGCUAUAGAGAUAUAGUUGAGGUUAACACGGUGACAGGUGGUGCAUGGUUGUCGUCAGCUCGUGUCGUGAGAUGUUGGGUUAAGUCCCGCAACGAGCGCAACCCUUAUUGCUAGUUACCAUCAUUAAGUUGGGGACUCUAGUGAGACUGCCAGUGAUAAAUUGGAGGAAGGUGGGGAUGACGUCAAAUCAUCAUGCCCUUUAUGACCUGGGCUACAAACGUGCUACGAAUGGCUAUUACAAAGAGAUGCUAAGCCGCGAGGUGGAGCUAAUCUCAUAAAGGUAGUCUCAGUUCGGAUUGGAGUCUGCAACUCGACUCCAUGAAGUUGGAAUCGCUAGUAAUCGCGGAUCAGAAUGCCGCGGUGAAUACGUUCUCGGGCUUUGUACACACCGCCCGUCAAACCACGAAAGUUUGUAAUAUCCAAAACCGGUGGCCUAACCGCAAGGAGG